rnacentral:rRNA from 1 species
CUUCGGGCCUCUCGCGUCAGGAUAUGCCUAGGUGGGAUUAGCUAGUUGGUGAGGUAAGGGCUCACCAAGGCGACGAUCCCUAGCUGGUCUGAGAGGAUGAUCAGCCACACUGGAACUGAGACACGGUCCAGACUCCUACGGGAGGCAGCAGUGGGGAAUAUUGCACAAUGGGCGCAAGCCUGAUGCAGCCAUGCCGCGUGUGUGAAGAAGGCCUUCGGGUUGUAAAGCACUUUCAGUCGUGAGGAAGGUGGUAGUGUUAAUAGCACUAUCAUUUGACGUUAGCGACAGAAGAAGCACCGGCUAACUCCGUGCCAGCAGCCGCGGUAAUACGGAGGGUGCGAGCGUUAAUCGGAAUUACUGGGCGUAAAGCGCAUGCAGGUGGUUUGUUAAGUCAGAUGUGAAAGCCCGGGGCUCAACCUCGGAAUAGCAUUUGAAACUGGCAGACUAGAGUACUGUAGAGGGGGGUAGAAUUUCAGGUGUAGCGGUGAAAUGCGUAGAGAUCUGAAGGAAUACCGGUGG